rnacentral:rRNA from 1 species
UACGAAGGGGGCUAGCGUUGUCCGGAAUUAUUGGGCGUAAAGAGCUCGUAGGCGGCUUGUCACGUCGGGUGUGAAAGCCCGGGGCUUAACCCCGGGUCUGCAUUCGAUACGGGCUGGCUAGAGUGUGGUAGGGGAGAUCGGAAUUCCUGGUGUAGCGGUGAAAUGCGCAGAUAUCAGGAGGAACACCGAUGGCGAAGGCAGGUCUCUGGGCCACUACUGACGCUGAGAAGCGAAAGCAUGGGGAGCGAACAGG